UGGGGAAUAUUGCACAAUGGAGGAAACUCUGAUGCAGCAAUGCCGCGUGAGUGAAGAAGGCUCUUGGGUCGUAAAGCUCUUUUAUGGGGGAAGAUGAUGACGGUACCCCAGGAAUAAGCACCGGCUAACUUCGUGCCAGCAGCCGCGGUAAUACGAAGGGACCUAGCGUAGUUCGGAAUUACUGGGCUUAAAGAGCUCGUAGGUGGUUAAGAAAGUUGGUGGUGAAAGCCCAAGGCUUAACCUUGGAACUGCCACCAAAACUUUUUGACUAGAGUAUGAUAGAGGUAAGUGGAAUUUCUAGUGUAGAGGUGAAAUUCGUAGAUAUUAGAAAGAACACCGAUUGCGAAGGCAACUUUCUGGAUCAUUACUGACACUGAGGAGCGAAAGCAUGGGUAGCGAAGAGG
rnacentral:rRNA from 1 species